GCAUAGCAGCCUCCAUGAAGAAAACCUGAACAAGAAGGCUUGUUUAUCAGAAACCUUCAUCUCCGUCUAGUACUCUCAAUCUUUCAGUAUCUCUGUAUCUCGCUCUCAAUCUCUCUUCCUCUCUAUCGGAGAAGAUUCAUUAAAAUCAACAACAAGAUGAAGAACUGAUUGCUUAAUGGGUUUUUGUAAUAUCCUUUGAGUUUUGUUCAAAAUCAAUACUUCUGUUUAGCGAUUUUAGAGCUGAUUGCUUAGGUUUUGAUCUUGUUUUGAUUAAUGUUGUUUGUUUGAAGCGACGAAGAAAACCUAAAAUCCAGAACACAGAUUCCUCUUCAAACAUCAUCAUCAAUAGCUGAAAGAUAUGGGUGAUUGAGGGUUCCCAAGUUUUGGAAUUUAAGUGAUGAUCUUUAUUUUCUAAACUGUUUUUUGAGGAUUUACAUGGGGAACUUAGCCAGUGAAAAAUCAAUGCUGCAAAUAUAACAACCAGAAUCUCAAGGUGUUUGUUGCUAAGAAGGAAAAUUAUACUACUUCAUGUAAGGUUUAACUCUAAAUAUUGCUUCUCAUACAACUUUCACUUACCUAGAGGCGAGAGCUAGCUGUUGCCGCAAAUAAGUUCAAAGAAGAAUGUGCUUUUGGUGAAGGAGGUUUUGGAGGUGUAUAUAAGAGUUAUCUUGAAACACUGGUCAGUGUUUAGUUAGGUUUUUUCUUUCCAAGAAGAAGAAGAAUGGAAUGAAUUGAAAAACUAGAAGAAGGAAACGGAAAAACUUUUUAUUUAAGGGCAUGUAUCGGUCUCUCUUCAAUCACUAGUUCUUUGGAAGGAGACUAAGAAGGCAAUAAAUUUACUGGUAAAGGGCUUGAAGGUGUUUGAAACGUUUGAGGAGCAGGGAAAAUGAGCAUUUUAAGAUGUAUGUCGAUGAAAAUGCUGCACGUGCAACUUUGUUUGAUGCAGCCGAAAAAUUGAUUCAAGCUAAUGCACUUCUGAAUGACUAGUUAAAUUUUUCAACCCUUAAAGGAGUUGAGGCUGCAAUCUCUCGUUAAGCAGAGGAAGUGUUGGUCACCUUCAUAAAGCCAUAGGAUCCGGGAGAGGGCUGAUGCCCUAGAUGCUGCUGGAAACACCACUGCUGCUAUUGAAAAGGGGUUUGCCAUUGGCUCGGAUGUUCUUUUGUAUCUCUUGCACUUUUGGUGCCUUAGUGAGUUGUCCAUCUAUUUUAAGUGUGGAUGUUCUUAUGGCAAUCAUGUGACGUUCAAAGAACCAGAGUCAUCUAAGAAUGCUUGUGAAUGAGCUACACCCGUGAUUACUGGCCGUAGAGCUAACUGUAACCUGGCUUCACUAGGUGCACAUCAUCCUAGGGUGAUUACUUCCGCUGCAUGGAACCAACAAGGUACAAAGAGUUAUCUGCUUGUACCUAGCAGUUAUGAAUCAUCUGAUAGUUGAACUCACCAUGAACCCAAGUAUCAUUGAACAAAUCGAUUAACAUAUAUAAUGAUUCGAACAAUGUUUGCUUUUUUCGAAUGUAGAAUGAAUGAAUGUUUGAAUGUGGAAAGAAUGAAAGUUUGAAUAAAUAUUUGAAUGACUUCUUUUGAAUGAAAAAUGAAUGUUUGAAUUGGAUUGAAUU